AUUGAACGCUGGCGGCAGGCCUAACACAUGCAAGUCGAACGAGUGGCAGACGGGUGAGUAAUGUCUGGGAAACUGCCUGAUGGAGGGGGAUAACUACUGGAAAAGGUAGCUAAUACCGCAUACCAUCGGAUGUGCCAAGAUGGGAUUAGCUUGUUGGUGGGGUAACGGCUCACCAGGGCGACGAUCCCUAGCUGGUCUGCGAGGAUGACCAGCCACACUGGAACGUAGACACGGUCCAGACUCCUACGGGAGGCAGCAGUGGGGAAUAUUGCACAAUGGGCGCAAGCCUGAUGCAGCCAUGCCGAGUGUAUGAAGAAGGCCUUCGGGUUGUAAAGUACUUUCAGCGGGGAGGCGUUACCCGCAGAAGAAGCACCGGCUAACUCCGUGCCAGCCGCCGCGGUAAUAC
rnacentral:rRNA from 1 species